AUUACCUCAUGGCUGUGGGUUGCUGUAUGAGUAUGGAUGAGAAGUAUUUUGUUGCUCUGUAUGCUAGUUUCUAGGCUGUCUGUCCCAGAGUGUGUGGACCUUUACAAACAUUGUCACUUCAAGAAUGAGUAAAAGGGAGAUUUCUGAGAUACCAGCAGCUCAAGUGACUCCACUGGAACUGUGGCAUUUAUCACAGACAAAAUCAGGUUGGAAGAAAGCAUAAAGGUACCAAACUAAAAAGGGAUCUAUAUUCAUCCUUAGAAGAAAAACGUUCUCACUUUGCAAACUGGGGGUUCAUUCUGCUCUUUCACAUAAGGGAGAGAAGAGGCAAAGAGGAAGGAGUGACUAACACAAAUAGCACAGUGGUAAUUUGUAAGAUAGCUUCACCCAGUCCCCAAUGAAGCCCCUCAAUCCUGGCUGAAAGAUGAGAUUUCUAUGAAGAGAAAAGGUUCUGGACCUGAGAGGGAGGCAAUCAGGGUUUACAAAACAAUUUACCGCCCAGAAAAGUUACACCUGAACGUGCUUCCUCUGUGUCAGAAGGACAAAGGAAAGGAAGAAUUCUGGGCAAGAGACAGGAAGAUGGGAUUGAGUAGGAAACAGUAUUAAUUAAAAUCAG